CCUACGGGUGGCAGCAGUGAGGAAUAUUGGUCAAUGGACGAGAGUCUGAACCAGCCAAGUAGCGUGAAGGAUGACGGCCCUAUGGGUUGUAAACUUCUUUUAUAUGGGAAUAAAAUGUUCCACGUGUGGGAUUUUGUAUGUACCAUAUGAAUAAGGAUCGGCUAACUCCGUGCCAGCAGCCGCGGUAAUACGGAGGAUCCGAGCGUUAUCCGGAUUUAUUGGGUUUAAAGGGAGCGUAGGUGGAGUGUUAAGUCAGUUGUGAAAGUUUGCGGCGUAACCGUAAAAUUGCAGUUGAAACUGGCAGUCUUGAGUACAGUAGAGGUGGGCGGAAUUCGUGGUGUAGCGGUGAAAUGCUUAGAUAUCAGGAAGAACUCCGGUUGCGAAGGCAGUUCACUGGACUGCAACUGACACUGAGGCUCGAAAGUGUGGGUAUCAAACAGGAUUAGAUACCCGAGUAGUC
rnacentral:rRNA from 1 species